GGUUACACAGUGCAGCCCAUCGCCACGGUUCCAGCUCCAAUCGACUUAACAAAUGACAUUAAUUACAACGUGACGUUCACUGUUAGUCUGCCAAUUGAAGAAAUUCAAAGAAACCCUUCAGAAACAGCAACCAUCAUUGCAGCUGAGAUCAUAGACCUGUUCGAAAACAGCAUAAUCAAUGCAACAUUCUUAACAUGUGUUGUAAAAUCAUUCAGGUAACUCACAGUCAUUUUCCUAUCAAUUAUGAAACUUGCAUUCCUUUAAACGAGGGGAACUCUGUCCUUGUUCCAUCUGGAUGAGGCACAUGCGAGAGCAGAA